AGUGAACGCUGGCGGUAGGCCUAACACAUGCAAGUCGAACGGCAGCACAGUAAGAGCUUGCUCUUACGGGUGGCGAGUGGCGGACGGGUGAGGAAUACAUCGGAAUCUACUUUUUCGUGGGGGAUAAUGUAGGGAAACUUACGCUAAUACCGCAUACGACCUACGGGUGAAAGCAGGGGAUCUUCGGACCUUGCGCGAUUGAAUGAGCCGAUGUCGGAUUAGCUAGUUGGCGGGGUAAAGGCCCACCAAGGCGACGAUCCGUAGCUGGUCUGAGAGGAUGAUCAGUCACACUGGAACUGAGACACGGUCCAGACUCCUACGGGAGGCGGCAGUGGGGAAUAUUGGACAAUGGGCGCAAGCCUGAUCCAGCCAUACCGCGUGUGUGAAGAAGGCCUUCGGGUUGUAAAGCGCUUUUGUUGGGAAAGAAAAGCAGCAAGUUAAUACCCCGCUGUUCUGACGUUACCAAAAGAAUAAGCACCGGCUAACUUCGUG
rnacentral:rRNA from 1 species